rnacentral:rRNA from 1 species
AGUGAACGCUGGCGGUAGGCCUAACACAUGCAAGUCGAACGGCAGCACAGUAAGAGCUUGCUCUUACGGGUGGCGAGUGGCGGACGGGUGAGGAAUACAUCGGAAUCUACUUUUUCGUGGGGGAUAACGUAGGGAAACUUACGCUAAUACCGCAUACGACCUACGGGUGAAAGCAGGGGAUCUUCGGACCUUGCGCGAUUGAAUGAGCCGAUGUCGGAUUAGCUAGUUGGCGGGGUAAAGGCCCACCAAGGCGACGAUCCGUAGCUGGUCUGAGAGGAUGAGCAGCCACACUGGAACAGAGACACGGUCCAGGCUCCUACGGGAGGCAGCAGUGGGGAAUAUUGGACAAUGGGCGCAAGCCUGAUCCAGCCAUACCGCGUGGGUGAAGAAGGCCUUCGGGUUGUAAAGCCCUUUUGUUGGGAAAGAAAAGCAGCAGGUUAAUACCCCGCUGUUCUGACGGUACCCAAAGAAUAAGCACCGGCUAACUUCGUG